CAGUUGCCGCGGUAAUACAGAGGGUGCGAGCGUUAAUCGGAUUUACUGGGCGUAAAGCGUGCGUAGGCGGCUUCUUAAGUCGGAUGUGAAAUCCCUGAGCUUAACUUAGGAAUUGCAUUCGAUACUGGGAAGCUAGAGUAUGGGAGAGGAUGGUAGAAUUCCAGGUGUAGCGGUGAAAUGCGUAGAGAUCUGGAGGAAUACCGAUGGCGAAGGCAGCCAUCUGGCCUAAUACUGACGCUGAGGUACGAAAGCAUGGGGAGCAAACAGGAUUAGAUACCCCCGUAGUCCCUGUCUCUUAUAC
rnacentral:rRNA from 1 species